rnacentral:rRNA from 1 species
AACGAACGCUGGCGGCAGGCUUAACACAUGCAAGUCGAACGGGUGCAGCAAUGCAUCAGUGGCAGACGGGUGAGUAACACGUGGGAACCUUCCUAGGGGUACGGAACAACUCAGGGAAACUUGAGCUAAUACCGUAUACGUCCGUAAGGAGAAAGAUUCAUCGCCCCUAGACGGGCCCGCGUCGGAUUAGGUAGUUGGUGGGGUAACGGCCUACCAAGCCUACGAUCCGUAGCUGAUCUGAGAGGAUGAUCAGCCACACUGGGACUGAGACACGGCCCAGACUCCUACGGGAGGCAGCAGGUGGGGAAUCUUGGACAAUGGGCGCAAGCCUGAUCCAGCCAUGCCGCGUGAGUGAAGAAGGCCUUAGGGUUGUAAAGCUCUUUUACCAGGGACGAUAAUGACGGUACCUGGAGAAUAAGCCCCGGCAAACUUCGUGCCAGCAGCCG